AGCUAUAUGUUGCAUAAUGUGCUACACCAAUUCUGUGCUUGGCAUCCAUAGCCACGAGAUCUCCAAACUGACUCCAAGCUGGGCUGCUGCUUCACGGAUCAUCAGCAUAAUGCAACUCCUCUCCUACUUUAGCAGCAGAUUCUUACGAAGGAUAUAUCAGAUUCAAAGGCCUUCCUAAUGAAGUGAAGAGUUUCAAGUCUGAGACAGCGUAUGUUCCCUGCACCGUGACAAAUGGAAUUCCACGUGGCAUACGUUGUCUCGUGGGGAUGCUCCCUUGCGUCCACGGUCGCCAACAUAGCAAUAAAACAAAAACGAGAGGCUGGCAAGUCAAACCUACUUGCAUGUAUAAGGGUGUUCAAAGUCGUGAAGUCCAACGACAUUGUAGCCCUAACAUCUAAGUUUUCCCAUUGUUAAUGUCAUAAGCAAGGCAAUCAAGCCACAUGACACCAAUUUAUAAGCAUUGGUAAGAUGGGGGAGCUGAGAGAGAUAAGACUGCAGGAAUAAAUGAAGAAGGUCACACAUCUCGUUCAUGUCGCCUCACCACCGCCCUGGUAGAUUGCAAUUAAUUCCCACUGUGAAGGGGCUCGCAACGACGCCGCUCCAGGAUUCGGUACUUGGCCUAUCAUGGAGGACUCUACUGUGUGCCAUUUCCCAAGGCAGGGAGGGAGGCUUGUGCCUUGUUUGACGACCUUGCACAGAUAUUAUGCAGCCCAAGGGACUGGGGUUCCCAAAUCCUGCUAUUUGAUUCAGGUUGGUGUCGCAUCUUAUGAAGGAGAAAGAAGAGAGCGAUGGCAAGAAUGGUGAUCCUAAUCUGGUUACUUCUUCCGCUGCUGUUUGAGAGUGAUUCAAGGAAGCUAUCGUGGGUGCCUGACAUGCCAGGAAACGCUUCUGCCACUGCCACUCAUGGAGAAGGCAUGGAGAAGGAAGAAUGCAAAGGCGUGGACACGGAGAGAUGCACUGCUGGGCGAGGGAUGGAAGCUCACACGGAUUAUAUCUACACCCAAGACUCGGAGCCAUGAUUCCGUGUCCCCAUAUCAUUUCUACUUCUCUGUGUGUUCCCCCCUUUCUUGGUGAACCACCGGACAUCUGUUUGUCUCAUGACACUGGAAUUAACUGUUUAAUACUUUGUUCAUGAUCUUCUUUCCCUUUUAAUCUUCCUGCUACUACUCCAUGUGCAAUUUAUAUGUUUGUUACAUCUAAAUGCUACUUCCCAGCUAAUUGCUUUGUU